rnacentral:rRNA from 1 species
UACGAAGGGGGCAAGCGUUGUUCGGAAUUACUGGGCGUAAAGGGCGCGUAGGCGGCUUAUCAAGUCAGGCGUGAAAUUCCCGGCUCAACCUGGGGGCUGCGCUUGAUACUGAUUGGCUUGAAUGCGGGAGAGGAUAGUGGAAUUCCCAGUGUAGAGGUGAAAUUCGUAGAUAUUGGGAAGAACACCGGUGGCGAAGGCGGCUAUCUGGCCCGUAAUUGACGCUGAGGCGCGAAAGCGUGGGGAGCAAACAGGG